rnacentral:rRNA from 1 species
CCUACGGGUGGCAGCAGUGGGGAAUAUUGCACAAUGGGCGAAAGCCUGAUGCAGCAACGCCGCGUGAAGGAAGAAGGGUUUCGGCUUGUAAACUUCUAUCAACAGGGACGAAAGAAAUGACGGUUCCUGAAUAAGAAGCCCCGGCUAACUACGUGCCAGCAGCCGCGGUAAUACGUAGGGGGCAGGCGUUAUCCGGAAUUACUGGGUGUAAAGGGAGAGUAGGCGGCAUGGUAAGCCAGAUGUGAAAGCCUUGGGCGUAACCCGAGGAUUGCAGUUGGAACUAUCAAGCUAGAGUACAGGAGAGGAAAGCGGAAUUCCUAGUGUAGCGGUGAAAUGCGUAGAGAUUAGGAAGAACACCAGUGGCGAAGGCGGCUUUCUGGACUGAAACUGACGCUGAGGCACGAAAGCGUGGGGAGCGAACAGGAUUAGAUACCCUGGUAGUC